UACGGAGGGGGCUAGCGUUGUUCGGAAUACUGGGCGUAAAGCGCACGUAGGCGGCUUGCAAGUUAGAGGUGAAACGGCCCGGGGCUCAACUCCGGAAUUGCCUUUAAGACUGCAUCGCUAGAAUUGUGGAGAGGUAAGUGGGAAUUCCGAGUGUAGAGGUGAAAAUUCGUAGAUAUUCGGAAGAACACCGAGUGGGCGAAGGCGACUUACUGGACACAUAUUGACGCUGAGGUGCGAAAGCGUGGGGAGCAACAGGG
rnacentral:rRNA from 1 species